CAUUUCAAUUCUUGUUUGUUUUAAAAAAAACCUAAAACUUUUGAGAUACUCUCUCAACUCACGCCUCCUCUUCUGCCUUUUCGUUGGACGCCGCCUCAGUCAAAGAUCCCACACGCCACGGCCACCGUAGACACGAGCACGACUCUGGUUGUGAGGACGUGGAGGGAAGCCGGACGUAGGCGUGCAACAUGCGGGCUAGGGGUCGUGCUUGGUGUACCGACGUGCGUGGUGGAGGGGCGUUGAACGCAGGGCUGUGGCCCAAGGGAAAAUGGAAACCCUAGGGUUUCCGAAAUUCCAAAAAACCUGAGCUUAUCGGGCAUGUUUAAUCUGGGUUUGUAUUUGGGUCUAUUUUUUGGGGGGGUAGUUUCAUUUUUUGGGUUUGUUAUUUUGUUUUGUAUGUGUAUGGGCUGUAAUUGGGUAUUUGGGCUGGGACUAGGUAGCCCGGGCAAAAUUUGGGUCUCACAGUACAAAUGUAUUAAUUAUAUUUGUUAUUAAAAUAAAUAUUUUAUAA